AUUUCAGUCGUAAGAACAAAUGGUAAAGCAAAAAGAAAAAAGAAAACACUGUUACCAAAAUUUAAAAUAGUUUCUUGGAUUCCAAGAUGAAUCCUACUUUUUUCGUCUUGACUUUCUCUCUAUUAUUUGCCUUUUUUCUAUUCGAGAGAGUUCUAACAAUGUUUGGAUUUUUCUUACACAUUUUGUAUAGAAACAAAUCUUCACAGUGAGAAAAGACGCACGUAUAUGUUUUUUUUUAUUGUCAAGGUGCAUGAAUGUGUUCAGAAAGAUGGCUGCGAUGACUCGAAAAGACGACAAGCACAUGAUCUUCUUGGAUACAUCAAUAGCUUUGAUUUUGUGUUCUUUUUGCAAGUGAUGGUGCACAUUUUAGAAAUCACAAAUAGUUUGUCCAAAGCCCUAUAAAAAAAGAUCAUGAGAUUUUGAAUGCAAUGUCGUUGGUGACAUCGACUAAAACAUAGUUAAAAAAAAUUAGAGAUUAGAGAUUAAAAAAAUAUCAAUAUCAAUUUAGAGAUUUGAAUGCAAUGUCGUUGGUUCCCUAUUUUCAUUCCAUCUCUACAAAUAUCCGAAGAACAAUUAGAGAUUAAAAAAAAUAUUCUUCUUUAAAAAAAUAUCAUCUAAUAUAGAAAUUAAAUAUAAUUCAACUAAUCACACAAACAUCAAAAUUUUAAUUGGUUAUUUAGUAACUGACAAAUAUAAAAAUUAUAUAGAAAUGUUAAAAUACUUUUAAAAAACGACAAUAUAAGAAACAAAUGGAUUCAUCUAUAUUGAAUUCAAGGGGUGUGAUAAUAAACUCAUUACUCAGAAGCUAAAGAACAAUGCUUAAAGAUAAUAACUAGGUCUCUCAAUCGACUAGUUUGGAUAACUCCAAAAUAAGUUAAAAAAAAAACACAAAA